UUGUUGGUAAGGUAAAAGCUUACCAAGGCUUCGAUCAGUAGCUGGUCUGAGAGGACGACCAGCCACACUGGGACUGAGACACGGCCCAGACUCCUACGGGAGGCAGCAGUGGGGAAUUUUGGACAAUGGGGGCAACCCUGAUCCAGCCAUGCCGCGUGAGUGAAGAAGGCCUUCGGGUUGUAAAGCUCUUUCAGCCGGAACGAAACGGUUACGGAUAACACCCGUGACUACUGACGGUACCGGAAGAAGAAGCACCGGCUAACUACGUGCCAGCAGCCGCGGUAAUACGUAGGGUGCGAGCGUUAAUCGGAAUUACUGGGCGUAAAGCGUGCGCAGGUGGUUUUGUAAGUCAGAUGUGAAAGCCCCGGGCUCAACCUGGGAACUGCGUUUGAAACUACAAGACUAGAGUGUGGCAGAGGGGGGUGGAAUUCCGCGUGUAGCAGUGAAAUGCGUAGAGAUGUGGAGGAACACCGAUGGCGAAGGCAGCCCCCUGGGUCAACACUGACGCUCAGGCACGAAAGCAUGGGGAGCAAACAGGAUUAGAUACCCUGGUAGUCCAUGCCCUAAACGAUGUCAACUAGUUGUCGGGCCUUUACGGGCUUGGUAACGUAGCUAACGCGUGAAGUUGACCGCCUGGGGAGUACGAUCGCAAGAUUAAAACUCAAAUGAAUUGACGGGGACCCGCACAAGCGGUGGAUUAUGUGGAUUAAUUCGAUGCAACGCGAAAAACCUUACCUACCCUUGACAUGUAUCGAAGCCCGCAGAAAAGCGGGGGUGCCCGAGAGGGAACGAUAACACAGGUGCUGCAUGGCUGUCGUCAGCUCGUGUCGUGAGAUGUUGGGUUAAGUCCCGCAACGAGCGCAACCCUUGUCAUUAAUUGCCAUCAUUUAGUUGGGCACUUUAAUGAGACUGCCGG
rnacentral:rRNA from 1 species